rnacentral:rRNA from 1 species
UACGUAGGGGGCAAGCGUUGUCCGGAAUCAUUGGGCGUAAAGGGUGCGUAGGUGGCGCCAUAAGUCGGGUGUGAAAUCUCGGGGCUUAACUCCGAAACUGCAUUCGAUACUGUGGUGCUUGAGGACUGGAGAGGAGACUGGAAUUCAUGGUGUAGCAGUGAAAUGCGUAGAGAUCAUGAGGAAGACCAGUGGCGAAGGCGGGUCUCUGGACAGUUCCUGACACUGAGGCACGAAGGCCAGGGGAGCAAACGGG